UAAGCUAGUCCUUAGUUACCAAAAUAGG
rnacentral:piRNA from 1 species